GAUGAACGCUGACAGAAUGCUUAACACAUGCAAGUCGAUGGGGAAGUGGUGCUUGCACCAUGGUAACCAUGGCGGACGGGUGAGUAACGCGUAAGGAACUUGCCUGCGGGACUGGGAUAACAGCAGGAAACUGCUGAUAAUACCGGAUAAGGUCAUUAAGCUGCAUAGCUUAGUGAUGAAAGGAGACGCCUGCGGAGAGCCUUGCGUCCUAUUAGCUAGUUGGAGGGGUAACGGCCCACCAAGGCGAAGAUAGGUAGCCGGCCUGAGAGGGUGGACGGCCACAAGGGGACUGAGAUGCGGACCUUACUCCUACGGGAGGCAGCAGUGGGGAAUAUUGGACAAUGGGGGCAACCCUGAUCCAGCAAUUCUGUGUGCACGAAGACGGUUUUCGGAUUGUAAAGUGCUUUCAGCAGGGAAGAAGGAAGUGACGGUACCCGCAGAAGAAGCGACGGCUAAAUACGUG
rnacentral:rRNA from 1 species